AGCCAUUUCGCUGUAAACAAGCUAGAGAACAGCAUGCUUCAAGUCCUCACUUCAUCUUGCUCCAUCUGCCUGUGUUAACCUUGGGGAAGCUUUAAAGACGAAACAGUCCAGUGCUGCAGCAACCCUUCACUCCCUCCGCUUCUGCUUCCACCUAGCCUGCAGCCUGCCUCUCUCAACCCCCCCCCCAUCCUUGGGUGUUUGUGUAAGUGUGUCUAAUUGCAGAAGUGGAGACUGGUGUGCUUGAGUCAUACAGCGAGCUGCCACUCAUCAUGAUCAGCCCUGCCAUUAAUACCCAGUUCAGACUACACCAUGCCUCCAGACUGAGAAUUAAACUCAGCCUGACUCCAGCCUCUGUCUCCGGUCCUCCUGCCUUGUCUGUCUCCCUCUUCGGGUUGAGCUCCAAUAGCCAACAUCCUUCGUCUGUCCUUUCAGCACAGCUCACAUUUCCACCCCAACAAGAAAUCUUCUAACCUUUACUCUCUGCCUCCUGUUAUGCGUCUUGCACUUGGGUUUACGUGUCUAGCCAUAAUAGUACAAUCUGGCCAGGAGAAAGGAACCCAGCAGACUUUCCACCAAGCCCUUGUUAAUUAAUACACCCUAAUUGGGCAAAAACCAGGCACUAAAAGAUAUUAUAGACUGCCUAAAAUACCUUACUGCAAACCUCAGCAGCGUCCGUGAUUAGUUAACUCCCCAGGCCACUCCAGUAGCUUCCAGCCAGGUCAUUAGCUCAUCCUCUUCUCACCGUGAGCCUUUUGUCCCUGCACCGGCACGCUAUGAUGGUGACCUUCGUUCCUGUCGUGCCUUCCUUGUACAACCCCACGCACGCAUCAGACCAUUCCCGCAUCACUUAUCUACUUGGCUAACUAAAAAGGAGCUGCUCUUGCCUGGGCCUCCACAGUGUGGGGGAGAGACAAUCUGCCAUCUGCUCCUCCUAUGUUCACUUCACCCAGGGGAUGAGAAAGUUCAACCAUCCCGUGUUCGUGGUAAGGAAGCAGCCAAGCAUCUCCUCUCCCUCUGUCAGGGCUGCUGCAGCUUUGCUGAGUUAGCCACAGACUUCCCGCCCAAACAGGUGCCCCAAAAGAACUGAAACCAACACAAUCUGCAUUAAUGAACCAGCUAGUUCCAAAAGAAAAAAACAAACACCAAGAGGUCUGCUGUAUCAUCCUGGAUACAUAUCCAAUAUUAUACAAAAGGUCAAAUAAUGUUUAAAAAAAAACAACAAAACCUUGCAUCUGCUGUUAAAAUAUCUGUUGUUGCUCUGAUGACGCAACACAGCUUUGAUGGCAUUAUAUUGUAUUCUCUUCCAUGACACAGCUGCUGCAUAAACCAGGAAUAAUAAUUUUUGCUCUUCUUUAAGUAGUUUGAGUCAAUAUCGAUAUCAAAGAAGUCAAUAUAGGCUGUCUUCAUUAGGAAUUAAAGAGGCAAACCAAUACUUAGUGCCAAGAUCAAUCACCAGUCUGUCUGGUAUGUCUGAAUCCAUCCACUCAUUUGCAGCAUGACAGUUUCUAACAAGCAGCUAAUCCUGUUAGCCUCUUGACCCUAGCAAAGGAUACCCCCCGGGGGACAAAAUUCUUUUACUUAUAACGAAAUGAACUGAAACAGAACAUUUGCCACUGCAAGAGCACAGUAUACCCUACUGAAUAGCCAAGGCUUGAGAGAAAUUGAUUACAUGUAAAGAGAUGAUUUGGAACUGUUACAAUACAAUGUAUUAUGUAAUGAAUUAAAGGUUUAUGUUUUCAACUUUUUCUGUACCGUGAUGAUGCAGCAGUGAUGCAACUUUUUAAACAUGCUGUGAAACUGAAAGUAUUUUUAGGCAUAAAGAUAAAAUAAUUAUUAUAGAGCCUGUUUUAAAUUGUGGGCAGCCAGUCACGUAGCGAUUUGUAUUUGACUCAGUAUUGAAAUAGAAACAUAAUGGAAAGCUAAUCUUUACAACAAACAAGAUAGUGAAAGACAUUGAAAAGAUAUGGAAAAGACUGUCCUCCCAAGAACGGUGUCAAUUAUUCCACGUAAUCUAGAGGACAUGGACAUAUUAAGUUGUGUUUAUAUAUAAGGGAUUUGAAUGCCAAAUCAAAAUGGUUAUCUGUUAAUCAUUUGCUGGUAACAGAUUGUAUUUGUUCUCCUAAAGCACUAACGCUUGA